rnacentral:misc_RNA from 1 species
GAUGAAGAACGUAGCGAAAUGCGAUAAGUAAUGUGAAUUGCAGAAUUCAGUGAAUCAUCGAAUCUGUGAACGCACAUUGCGCCCGCCAGUAUUCUGGCGGGCAUGCCUGUCUGAGCGUCAUUUCAACCCUCAUGCCCCUAGGGCGUGGUGUUGGGGAUCGGCCAAAGCCCGCGAGGGACGGCCGGCCCCUAAAUCUAGUGGCGGACCCGUCGUGGCCUCCUCUGCGAAGUAGUGAUAUUCCGCAUCGGAGAGCGAUGAGCCCCUGCCGUUAAACCCCCAACUUUCCAAGGUUGACCUCAGAUCAGGUAGGAAUACCCGCUGAACUUAAGCAUAUCAAUAAGCGGAGGA